rnacentral:lncRNA from 1 species
CUGGCAAGGCUUAAAUUUGCCCCCAGAUGUGCCCUGUCAUCUUUAAUCCAACCUCUGACUUAGAGUUUCAACAUGUGGUCUCUGGACAAGAUGGCUGCCAUGAAUAACGAAAAGAUAGGAAAAGAAAAGUAGAGCCAGGAGCAGUGGCUCACACCUGUAAUCCUAGCACUUUGGGAGGCCAAGGCGGAUGGAUCACCUGAGGUCACCUGGGUUGUCAAAAGUGAAUUUGUG